rnacentral:rRNA from 1 species
GAUCCUGGCUCAGGACGAACGCUGGCGGCGUGCCUAACACAUGCAAGUCGAGCGGAGACAGGGAGUAGCUUGCUAUGAGCUGUUUUAGCGGCGGACGGGUGAGUAACGCGUGAGCAACCUUUCCCAGACAGGGGGAAUAACACACCGAAAGGUGUACUAAUACCGCAUAAGACCACGGGAUCACAUGGUUCUGAGGUAAAAGAUUUAUCGGUUUGGGGUGGGCUCGCGUCCGAUUAGGUAGUUGGUGAGGUAACGG